GUAAUAAUGGAGCAAGCCUGUUUUCUUUUCUAGCUUCCUCAAGCAAAAAUCCUAAAAUGGCAUCAACCUCUGUUUUUCUGUUUUCUUCAAUGUCUUUUAACAUGGAAGAUCGAUU
rnacentral:antisense_RNA from 1 species